CCUACGGGAGGCAGCAGUGGGGAAUAUUGCACAAUGGGGGAAACCCUGAUGCAGCGACGCCGCGUGAGUGAAGAAGUAAUUCGUUAUGUAAAGCUCUAUCAGCAGGGAAGAAAAUGCCGGUACCUGAGUACGAAGCCCCGGCUAACUACGUGCCAGCAGCCGCGGUAACACGUCGGGGGCAAGCGUUAUCCGGAUUUACUGGGUGUAAAGGGAGCGUAGACGGCCGUGCAAGUCUGGAGUGAAAGGCCGGGGCUCAACCCCCGGACUGCUUUGGAAACUGGACGGCUGGAGUGCAGGAGAGGUAUGUGGAAUUCCUAGUGUAGCGGUGAAAUGCGUAGAUAUUAGGAGGAACACCAGUGGCGAAGGCGGCUUACUGGACUGUAACUGACGUUGAGGCUCGAAAGCGUGGGGAGCAAACAGGAUUAGAUACCCCGGUAGUC
rnacentral:rRNA from 1 species